rnacentral:rRNA from 1 species
AUUGAACGCUGGCGGCAUGCUUUACACAUGCAAGUCGAACGGUAACAGGGUGCUUGCACCGCUGACGAGUGGCGAACGGGUGAGUAAUGCGUCGGAACGUGCCGAGUAGUGGGGGAUAACGCAGCGAAAGUUGUGCUAAUACCGCAUACGUACUGAGGUAGAAAGUGGGGGACCUUCGGGCCUCACGCUAUUCGAGCGGCCGACGUCUGAUUAGCUAGUUGGUGGGGUAAAAGCCCACCAAGGCGACGAUCUGUAGCUGGUCUGAGAGGACGACCAGCCACACUGGAACUGAGACACGGUCCAGACUCCUACGGGAGGCAGCAGUGGGGAAUUUUGGACAAUGGGCGCAAGCCUGAUCCAGCAAUGCCGCGUGCAGGAUGAAGGCCUUCGGGUUGUAAACUGCUUUUGUACGGAACGAAACGGCGAGCUCUAAUACAGUUUGCUAAUGACGGUACCGUAAGAAUAAGCACCGGCUAACUACGUGCCAGCCGCCGCCGUAA